CUCACAUCGCCCCACGUCUCCCCCUCUUCCUUCCACAGUACGCACGCAUCCCUCUCCCCGUCUCCCCGCAAAUCACGCCGCGAGCGCCCCUCUCCUCACUCAGCCCGCGCCCGCGCUCCCCUAACCCUAAUCCCCCUCCACCCUCUCCGCUCCUGACCCCUGCGGCCCCGCUGCGCAGAUCGCCAUCGCCUCUCGGCAGCCGCACUAUCCCCAAAAUCACGUCGUUGUGCGCUCACCGUCGUUCCCCUCCCUUCCCACGCGCUCCCUCCCUUCCACCGCUCCGCACCCCACGCCCGUCGCCAGCGCCGCUGCCGCCAUCAGGUCGCCAUCACUCCCUCUUGCAGACAUGGAUCUUCACGCCAGCGCCGCCACUCCCCCGUGCCCUCAUCGCUGUGCCGCUCCGUCACCCUCUGCCCCUUCUGCUCACGGCUCACCACGCCGCCUCUGUCAUCUACGGGCGCUUGCCCUAUAGGCCGGCACGGUGCUAGCUAGCUAGGUGCGUGGAGGAGGGUGGGGAUGACGAAAGGGUGGGAGGUGCUAAGGCGAGGCAUUCCGGGCAGUCGUGGACCUAGCGCCAUCAUCUCCCCUCUCAGGGCUGCAACAAUGACAAAUUCUGCAGUGUGUAAAGGUGUGAAAAAUGAGCUUCAAGCUGCCAGAAUGGAAAAUGCCUGAACAUUGUUCUGAAGAUGAGUACAUCUUUUGCAAGUCUUGAUCUGUGCACCUCUUCAGCUGGUUGCCAGCAUGAAAAAUUUAUGAUUCUGACAUAUGUCUCUGAAUAUGUUUGUAACAAUGAAUUCUAAAAACAUAUAUCUCUGAAUACGUUUGUAAAUUUAGUUGGAUUUUAUGAAGUUUUCAGUGAGCUUUGGAAUGUUUAUGAGAUAGCUCCAUUUCUGAACUUGUCUAUCUGAACUUUGGUCGUGACCUCA